CGAGUUUCACUGGAAAACAUGUUAAAACAUUAUCAAAUAGCUCGUUUUUCAUUAUGAAAAGAUAACAAAAACAAUCGGUUAAGCAUACAGUAAGAAAAACUCCAAAAAAGCCAUUACUCCUUGUUGCUGUGUUUCGUAUCGAACGGUUGCCUGUCAAAGUGCUCGUACAUGACAGAACCCUGUCUAGACCACACCAAAUUUUCUCUCUACCUGUGGUGCUUGCCGAAGUGCGUCGUGCUGUUAUAUUAACCCCAAAAAAAACCUAAUUAAAAGCUCUAUUUUACUACAAUUCAUACAUUAAUCCAAAGUUCUACACGCAACCUACAACAGGUUACCACAGAGCAGUUUUUAUUCGCGGCUAGCUGUUGUAUAAUAUAAAAUCAGUCACGCUGGAUAAGAUGGCGCGUUACCGUGAGUGGGACCUGCAGUGCAAGGUUUACGUGGGCAAUUUGGGGUCGUCCGCGUCGAAGCACGAGAUCGAAAGUGCCUUCGGCAAGUACGGGCCGCUGAGAAAUGUUUGGGUAGCACGCAACCCACCCGGUUUCGCGUUUGUCGAAUUUGAAGAUAAGCGAGACGCUGAGGACGCAGUUCGAUCGUUGGAUGGAACUCGGUGCUGCGGAACACGCAUACGGGUAGAGAUGUCGUCUGGCAGAUCGCGCCGAGAUGAACGCACACGCCGACCCCGCCGCUCGUACAGGGCAAACUCUUCUAUGAUACUACUACUCCACGACAGCGACUUCCGCCACAGAACAUCAUCUUGUCCAAAUUUUGCUAGUAGCGCUACUAGUGUUAAGUCUACUACUGCAACCACCACCACCACCACCAUCAAUUCCACCAAUUUUACCACCACCAUCACAACUACCACCAAAAAUACAACUACCACCACCACCACCACUACUACUACUACUACCUCCACCAACACCACCAAUACUUCUACUGCGUGCCUGAGCUCCUGCCGGCGCGGCUCGAUCUCUUCUAGACGCGAUCAUUCGUCUUCCGGCGACUACUACUACUACCGCCACCACCACCACCAAAACUACUACUACUACUACUACUACUUCUACUGCUGCUGCUACGGGCAUGCGCACGCGCUUCUACCUCUACUUCUGCAAGCGCCCACCGCGACACCAUUGUUGGCAGCAAAGGUAGCAGUAGCAGCAGCAGAAGCAGCAGCAGCAGCAGCAGCAGCAGCAGCAGCAGCGUCAGCACUGCGCUUCCUCUUGCGAUGGGCUUCAGCAACGGCAGCGGCCCUUCAUUGCGACGGCCUCGUGUUCUGCAGUUUGCUUCCCCUUCUACUGCUACUACCACCACCACCAUCACAACCGCCACUGCCACUGCUACUGCUACUACUUCUUCAUCGUCUUCCUCCACACCCUCUCCAUCGGCUGCGGGGUAGUAGCGGCGGUCGUCUCAGCAGCACCACACACAGCCUUCGCAGUGAUUCAGCAGCGCCCUGUACCGCCGCUCAACGGUGCCUUCAUCCACUGCCAUCGCCGCGCGUCCCGUGGUGGCCGCUGUUGGUUCCUUCUUGAAGAGACAGCGCUUGUCGACAUCAGGUCAGCCCGCUGGUAGGCUCACCCUGAAGUGUGUCUCGACCUUGCAAAAACGCUCGGGCUUGGUUGGUUGGUGUUUGUACUUCCACCGACAGAGGCCGUCUGAUGCAAGAGCGCUGCUGCGUAGUAUGUGCUGACCAAGCUCAACUUCUUGCUCUCAAGGAGAUGAAGCAGACAGCCGCAGCCAAAAGGUCAAAUAGUGUCAUCAUUCUUCAAUAUGCUACCCAAGCUCACACAAACAGCCGGAACGUUUGGUGACUGAUAUCAUGCCUCCGAGUAACAAGGAGUUUGUUCCGAAGUGUUUUCCCCAUGCAGAAGAGCAUGGCAUCGCUGCUGCUGCUGCAACGCCUCGGGUCAUCUUACGGCUCUCUCGCCUUCGCUCAUCUUCUCCAGAGCUCCCCCGGAUGGGUUCACGCCGUCUCGGAAUCUGUUUUUUUUUCUUCUUUUUUUUUCUCUCUAUAUCUCUUUCCCAGCGAGAUCAUCUCCUUCAGUUUGUUUUGUACAAAACCAGUUUUUGACACGCGCGCUCUCUGUCAUGAGUUGGUGGCCUCACAGUCCGCGCAAUUACACACAAUUUGUCAUCAUCAUCCUUCGCGCUACUUCGGCGCCUAGGGGCUUCUCCGGGAAUCCUUUGCACCUGCCAACUUUAUUUCUCAUCACCGACCACCAUUCUUCACCAACAACCUCUAUCUACCAAGCGUAUUCUGCCACUGCUACUGCUACUACCACUACCACCACUACCACUACUAGUAUCUACUUCUAUUGCUACAACUACAACAACUACUACUACUACUGCUGCUGCGGCUGCUACUACCACAACUAUGCUACUUGUCUGCUGCACCAUCCCAUCAUCGUCAUCCAUUGGGUAUCCUUUGGCAAACGAGAGAGUUAUGACACCCCGGUUCACAUCAGGAACCGUGCCGUACCACCACCACGACCUGCUACUCUGCCUCCCCCCCGUCUCAACAGCUGGUGCUGCUGCCUCCUACUUCUGCUACUGUGCCAUCACACCAUCAUUUUCUUCGGUGCUGCUUCGGUGCAUCCAUAGACCACCUCCGGGAUUGCAAUCCCUGACCGCUCCUCUUGGCCGGGCUCCGCUCCGGGUAUUCAGCAUCCCUUAACAAACAAGCUACUCGCAACCUUGCGCAUCAUCGUGUGGUGGCUGUUACAGUUGGUGCAGUUAGUGUGCAUUAGUGUUGUGUUGGUGGUAGCGCAGCCUCCAAAUCACAUUACUCCUACUCUCUGUCUCCGCUAGCGUUUCGCUAUGCCAACAGUGUCAAAAAACAACCGCAACUGUAAGUGAACCUAUUCAUUCCUGAUAGCCAACCUUGCCCGUUUAAAACCCGAUUGUGCGUAAAUAAUGUAUCCUUCAGGUCACGUAGCUGGGAUCAUCCCAUCGCCGCAGCCUAGCCUAAUAUCUCAAGCUCUUCCCUCCGACAUUUCACCACAAACAACGACCAUACGACCAUAAGUAGCCUUUCACCAUCACCUACUACCAUCACGACCACCACCACAACACCGUUGACCUACUACUACCUCUACUCGAACUACGCCACCGCGUGCAAGACAUCACAACAUCACCUUCCAUCGUCGCCCACCAUCUUGCGCGGUUCUUCCUGCUGCCCUUCAACCCAUCGAACCCGGUUCUGCUUCUGCUCUUCCCCUUUGUGUGCGAAACCACUGUCGUCCCCAAAGCAAAACUGGCCAUCUCUCUUCACGUGUGGUGUGUGUGUGGCAUCUCUACCAUUUCGAAAAGAGUUCGCUGCAGCACAGCGCCACUGCUGCAACCGUGAACCGGAUGAAGACGGUCGCCAACAAUUGGAUCGAAUACUGAAAUUCUAUAGCUUCCUCCUUCACCACCAACACCAUCGCCACCAACACACCACCACCAAAUCACAUCCAACCAUAUCAAAAUGCUCCACAACGCGCGCGUGUGUGUGUGCGUGCGCUCGCUCGCUCGCUUUCUCUUCUCAUCUCUUCUUCCGUUUCCGGAAAAGAUCUCGCUCACCGCGUCGUUCCAGAUCCCGCAGCCGCAGCAUGAGCCGUGAGCGCGAUCGCGACCGUCGCAGCCGCAGUGGAUCUCGCGACCGUCGCUAAGAUGCUAGGAGGAGGAUGUGCGCUGACGAAGACGCACGCACGCACUCGACAAGAGGACAAACGCAGAGCGCGAACACAUACAUGCAGGUGUGGUUAAUGA